rnacentral:rRNA from 1 species
GCACACUGCUACAGUGCGCUGAAAGCACCUGAUCUCCUCCAAACUUAGAAGCUAAGCAGACCAGGCCUCUGAAUAGCUGGACGGKAAAAUCACCUGAAAACAGGCAACAGUCC